rnacentral:tRNA from 1 species
CUCUGUGAAGCUAUGUAGCGUUAACCUUUUAAGUUAAAGAUUGAAAGCCCCAACCUUUCCACAGUGAA